CGGAGGAGGAGGCGGCGGAGGCGGAGGCGGUGGUGGAGGUGGCGGCGGCGGAGGAGAUUGCGAAGUCACGACGGAGGCGCCCGUACUAACGACAACCCCUGCACCAUCAACCACAACAACACCUCCCUGCGUAACGACCACCGCGGCUCCACCCUGUGAAACGACCACAGAGGCUCCCCCCUGUGAGACAACCACAGAGGCUCCCACCUCCGAGACGACCACCGAGGAGUUGGUGACCACCGAGAGGGCGACACCCGCGACCUCCGAGGCGCCGACCACCGAAAGGGCGACGCCCGCCACCUCGCCGGAGCCCACGACCGAGCGCGCGACGCCGGCCACCACGGAAGAGCCGGAAACAACCACCGAGGAGUUGUUGACCACUGAGAGGGCGACCCCCCCUACCCCGGAGGAGCCAACCACCGAGAGGGUGAAGCCACCCACGCCGGAGGAACCCACCACCGAGAGGGCGACGACACCCGCCCUGGAAGAGCUUACCACCGAGAGGGUGCCGUUGGCGCCCAACCUCCGACCCAGACCAGUCCUGCACUGAGGUCCUUUGAGAAGCAAUAAAUCUUUGCAUGUAUUGCUGCCUGAUUUCUUUCUCUUUCAACUCUCAGCGAUCUAGCCUUUAUUUAACUUAUUUUUUCGACGACACGCUUUUGCCUUAAUAUAUUGUAACUACCUCGGCGAUAAUAAAUAUUUAAGAACGCUACGAUAUCAUUA